CCUACGGGAGGCAGCAGUGGGGAAUAGUGGGCAAUGGGCGCAAGCCUGACCCAGCAACGCCGCGUGAAGGAAGAAGGCUCUCGGGUUGUAAACUUCGUUUAUCAGGGACGAAGCAAGUGACGGUACCUGAUGAAUAAGCCACGGCUAACUACGGGCCAGCAGCCGCGGUACUACGUAGGUGGCAAGCGUUAGCCGGAUUUACUGGGUGUAAAGGGCGUGUAGGCGGGAAAGCAAGUCAGAUGUGAAAACCAUGGGCUCAACCUGUGGCCUGCAUUUGAAACUGUUUUUCUUGAGUACUGGAGAGGCAGCCGUCAUUCCUAGUGUAGCGGUGACAUUCGUAGAUAUUAGGAGGCACACCAGUGGCGCAGGCGGUCUGCUGGACAGCACCUGACGCUGAGGCGCGAAAGCGUGUGGAGCAAACAGGAUUAGAUACCCGUGUAGUC
rnacentral:rRNA from 1 species